rnacentral:rRNA from 1 species
UAUAUAAGGUAUUUAUUUUUAUAAUAAAUUUAUAGUUUUUAUUAAAAAUAAUUUUGGUUUUAGUAUUUUUAUUAAAAAAAAGUUUUUUAAUUAUAGUGGAAUUUACUGUAAGGGAUUAUUAUAUUGUAUUUUAAUAGUAGUAUUUAUUUAUGUACCUUUUGUAUCAGGGUUGAUUAAUUUAUUAAUUGUAUAAUAUUAUCCCGAAAUAUAAGUAGCUAAAAUUAAAUGUUGUUUGUUGUGUUAAAACUAUUAAAAAUUUAAUUUUAGUAAUGAAAUGUUAUCGUCUUUUAUUAUAUCUGGUUUUUUGAGAAUUAAAUUUAAUUUAGAUAUUAAUUUUAUAAUGAAUUUAAUUAAAUUAAUAUUAAAAUUUUAGGGGAUUAUCUUUAAAAUUUUUUAUAACUUUUGUAUGUUAAAAAAAUGUAUGCUUGGAAUCAGCAAUCUUUAAUUUCGUUAAAGAAUAUUUUUGUGUAAUUUUUAUUUUUUACUGUUUAAAUUUAUAUUGAAAAAAGUUAUAUAAUUUUAAAAUAACUAUUAUAAUGAUUAAAUUAGUAAAUUUGUUAAUUAAUUUAUAGGAACUUGGCAAAAUUAGUGCUUGCUUGUUUAACAAAAACAUGUCCUAUUGAUUAUAAUUUUAGGUCUAACCUGCCCUAUGAUUUAUUAAAUGGCCGCAGUAUUUUAACUGUGCAAAGGUAGCAUAAUAAUUUGUCUUUUAAUUGAAGGCUGGAAUGAAUGGUUUGACAAGGCACUAACUUUCUUUAUUUUAUUAUUUGAAUUUAAUUUUUUAGUUAAAAAGCUAAAAUUUAUUUAAAAGACGAGAAGACCCUAUAGAUUUUGUAUAUGUUAUAUUGUAUAUUUAUGUUCAUACAGUAUAAUGUAUUUGGUUGGGGUGACUAUAGAAUAUAACUAACUUCUAUUUUUUAUUACAUUAAUUAGUGUAACAUUGAUCCAGUAAUAUUGAUUAUAAGAUUAAGUUACCUUAGGGAUAACAGCGUAAUUUAUUCAAAGAGUUCUUAUCGAUGAAUAAGAUUGCGACCUCGAUGUUGGAUUAAAAUAAGUUUUUGGUGUAGGAGCUACAAAACUAGGUCUGUUCGACCUUUAAUAUUUUACAUGAUCUGAGUUCAGACCGGCGUGAGCCAGGUCAGUUUCUAUCUUUAAUGAAGGAUACUUAUUAGUACGAAAGGACCAUAUGUAUUAAAUAAUUUAAUUUUAUUGAUUAAUUUU